rnacentral:rRNA from 1 species
ACUCCUACGGGAGGCAGCAGUGAGGAAUAUUGCGCAAUGGACGGAAGUCUGACGCAGCAACGCCGCGUGGGCGAUGAAGGCCUUCGGGUCGUAAAGCCCUUUUCUGAGGGACGAGGAAGGACGGUACCUCAGGAAUAAGCCUCGGCUAACUACGUGCCAGCAGCCGCGGUAAAACGUAGGAGGCGAGCGUUAUCCGGAUUUAUUGGGCGUAAAGCGCAUGCAGGUGGUUCCACAAGUCGGAUGUGAAAGCUCCUGGCUUAACUGGGAGAGGUCGUUCGAAACUGUGGGACUGGAGGUCGGAAGAGGGAAGCGGAAUUCCCGGUGUAGUGGUGGAAUGCGUAGAUAUCGGGAGGAACACCAGUGGCGGAAGCGGCUUCCUGGUCCGCACCUGACACUCAGAUGCGAAAGCGUGGGGAGCGAACAGGAUUAGAUACCCUGGUAGUCCACGCUGUAAACGAUGGGUACUGGGUAUCGGUGGUAUUGACCCCAUCGGUGCCGAAGCUAACGCGUUAAGUACCCCGCCUGGGGACUACGGCCGCAAGGUUAAAACUCAAAUGAAUUGACGG